rnacentral:rRNA from 1 species
UUUCCUACGGGAGGCAGCAGUGGGGAAUAUUGCACAAUGGGCGCAAGCCUGAUGCAGCCAUGCCGCGUGUAUGAAGAAGGCCUUCGGGUUGUAAAGUACUUUCAGCGGGGAGGAAGGCGGUGAGGUUAAUAACCUCGCCGAUGACGUACCGCAGAAGAGACCGACCGCCAC